AGGGUUCGAUUCUGGCUCAGGAUGAACGCUGGCGGCAUGCCUAACACAUGCAAGUCGAACGGAGCUAUUACGGAAGCUUGCUUUGUUUAGCUUAGUGGCGGACGGGUGAGUAACGCGUGAGGAACCUGCCCUUCAGUGGGGAAUAACACCGAGAAAUCGGUGCUAAUACCGCAUAACGUCUUGAGAUCGCAUGUUCUUAAGACCAAAGGAUUUAUUCGCUGAAGGAUGGCCUCGCGUCCGAUUAGUUAGUUGGUGGGGUAACGGCCUACCAAGACCGCGAUCGGUAGCCGAACUGAGAGGUUGAUCGGCCACAGUUGGGACUGAGACACGGCCCAGACUCCUACGGGAGGCAGCAGGUGGGGAAUAGUUGGGCAAGUACGGGGGAAACCCUCGACCCAGCAAUGCCGCGUGAAGGACGAAGGUCUUCGGAUUGUAAACUUCUUUGAUUGGGGAAGAAUAAAUGACCUACCCAAAGAACAAGUCACGGCUAACUACGUGCCAGCCGCUGC
rnacentral:rRNA from 1 species